rnacentral:rRNA from 1 species
GUCUUUUUGAGUUUAAUUUAAAGUCUGAUCUGCCCACUGAUAAUAUUUAAGGGCCGCAGUAUUCUGACUGUGCAAAGGUAGCAUAAUCAUUAGUCUUUUAAUUGAGGGCUUGUAUGAAUGAUUGGACGAGAUAUAAUCUGUCUCAUAAAAAUUUAAGUAGAAUUUUAUUUUUUAGUUAAAAAGCUAAAAUAAGUUUAAAAGACGAGAAGACCCUAUAGAUCUUUAUAAUUUAUUUAUUAAUUUUUUUAGGUUAUUUUUUAAUUUUAUAAAUUAAAUUAUUUUGUUGGGGUGACAGUGAAAUUUAUAAAACUUUCAUAAUUUUUUUACAUUGAUUUAUGAUAAAUUGAUCCAUUUUUAGUGAUUAAAAAUUUAAGUUACCUUAGGGAUAACAGCGUAAUUAUUUUGGAGAGUUCUUAUCGAUAAAAUAGUUUGCGACCUCGAUGUUGGAUUAAGAUUAAUUCUGGGUGUAGCAGUUCAGGUUAUUAAGUCUGUUCGACUUUUAAUUUCUU